AUUUCUUUGGGCCGCUCCCGCGACAUAUGGAGGUUUCCAGGCUAGGGGUCUAAUUGGAGCAGUAGCCACUGGCCUACGCCAGAGCCACAGCAAUGCAGGAUCCGAGCCGUGUCUGCGACCUACACCACAGCUCACUGCAACGCCGGAUAGUUAACCCAUUGAGCAAGGGCAGGGACCGAACCUGCAACCUCAUGGUUCCUAGUCAGAUUCGUUAACCACUGCGCCACGACGGGAACUGUUGUAGGAAUAGUGGAAGGCCAGUUUGGCUGAAGUGGAGUAAGCCAGGGUGGGAAGAAUAGAAGUUGGUCAGAGUUACGGGAUGUGGCGUAGGACUCAGACCAUGCAUGACCUUGUAGUCCAUUAUAAGAACAUUUGCUUUGACUUGAAAUGUCAAGCCAUUGAAGGGCCUUGAGCAGGGGAGUAAAUAGUCUGACUUUAGUCUGAAGAGUCACUCUGGCUUCAGUGAUGAGGAUAGACAAUAAAGGGGCAAGUGUAGAAAGAGGCCACCUCUUAGGAAACCAUCCUGCAGUCAUUCAGGCAGGAGAUGAUGUAGUGAUAAAGAGGACGGUAAAUGGUCAGGUUUUGAGUGUCACCUGAAUGGGAAAUCAGUGGAUUGAAUGUGGGCUCUUAAAGAGAGGGUCAAGAAUUAUUCCAAGGGUUCAUUUUUUAAAACCAGAGCAAUGGAAGAGUGGAAAAAAGCAAGUGAGGCUUCAAGAUGGAGCAGGGGAAGGUUGUGAUGGAGGUACCUGGCUGUGGUGGUUGUAGGUGGAUCAGCUUUGCAGGAUAAACUUUAGGAGCUAGGUUUAUUAGACGAUUGAUUUCGAGAUGCUGAAAAGACAUUUAAGUAGAGUUGUCCCGGCUAUUGAAUAUACAAAGCUAGAGUUUUUGGGAGAGAAGCCUUGACCAGGAAGAAGCAAUUUUGGAGUAACCAUCUCCUAAGGACUGAAUAUUGUCCUCCACCCCCAAAUUCCUAUGUUGGAACUCUGAUUCCUAAGACUCAGAAGGUGACUGAACUUGGAGAUGGAGCCUUUCAAGAGGUGGGUAGGUACCCCUGCCCCCAGGCCCUCACUUUAACCUAAUGUGACAGAAGUGGUAUCCUUACAAGAAAAGGAAAUUGGGACACACAAGCUGACAGCAGGGGUGAACAUGCAGAGUGACCAUGUAAAGACACGAGAAGACGGCCAUCUACAAGCCAAGAAGAGGGUUAUUGAAAGACUCCAAGCAUGCCAAACACCUGGAUCUUGGACUUCUGGCCACCAGAACUGAAGUUUCUGUUGCCCAGUAUGAGGUAUUUUGUUAGAGCAGCCUUGGUCAACGAAUGCACCAUCUGAAGGGCAUUUAAAGGAUGACUGAAUGAGAUGAUCAGAGGUCUCACUCAAUGAAUCAGUAAGACCCAGGCAUUCCAGUGUUCAGAAGUGGGAAUGAGCGAAAGCUAUGGAGGCGGAACCAGCAAUCAACUAGGCGUAAAACACAGAAUGUUCUUUUUGGAGCUAUGCAAACAAAUUGUGACAUGUGGGAGAGAAUUUUCAGCUGUGAUAAAUGCUAUGGUUCUGUCAGUAAGGAAGAGGCCUGAGAACUAACAGUGCAUUUCCAAUGUGAUGAAUUGGAGUAUAUCUGAGAGCACAUCAGAGGGGGAGGUAACUACAAAAAAAAAAAAAGCUUGAGGAAUUUUUCAAUAGAGGGUCUGUGGUCGAGUUACUAGAGGGAAUGAGAUGAAAGGGGUUUGCAAGCAGCAGAGGUUUCUCAAGAAGCACAUCUAACUUGUGUUCCAGGGCCCCUUGACUUCAGGAGCUGAUCCCCUGGGAGGGGUUCCAGCAAUGUGUUCAUGGGGGCAUAUGCUUUUGCAAUAUUUGCAAACGUAGACUAUUUUGGGGCACAAUCAGUGAAAACCACUGUCUGCCAAUCUAACCUCAUCUCUGCCACACUUGCCCUUUGGUUGGAUGGCCACAGGCAUUUCUGAGGUCUGACCAAGUGAGGCUGAGUUAAGAUUAUACUGAAUUUGCGUUUAGUGAUUUGGAGUAUAGUUGACUUACAAUGUUGUAUUAGUUUCAGGUGUACAGGAAAGUGAAUCAGUUAUACAUAUAUCUAUUCUUUUCCCCCAUAUAGGGUAUUACAGAACAUUGGAUAGACCUGCAUGUGCUAUACAGUGGGUCCUUUUGUUAUGUAUUUUAUAUAUAGUAGUGUGUAUAUGCAUGUGUUAAUCCCACCCCCUCAAUUGAUCCAUCCCCCUCCCACAGUUUCUCCUUUGUUAACCAUAAGUUUAGAAAUCUGUGAGUUUGUUUUAUAAAUUUUAUUGUAUCAUUUUUAACGGGAUUCCACACAUAGGUGAUAUCAUGAUAUUUGUCUUUCUCUGAUUUACUUCAUUCAGUAUAAUCUUUAGGUUCAUCCAUGUUUCUGCAAAUGGCGUUAUUUCAUUCUUUUUCUGUGGUUGGGUAAUAUUCCAUUUUAUAUAUGUACCACAGCUUCUUGAUCCAGUUUUUUCUUGAUGGACAUUCUGGUUGCUUCCAUUUCUUGGCUAUUGUAAAUAGUGCUGCAAUGAACACUGGUGUGUAUCUAUCUUUUCAAAUUAUGGUUUUCUCUGGAUAUAUAUGCUCAGGAGUGGGAUUGCUGGGUCAUAUCAUAUGGUAGUUCUAUAUUUAGUUUUUGUUUUUUUUUUUUUUAGGGAAACUCUGUACUGUUUUCCACAGUGGUUGCACCAAUUUACAUUCUCACCAACAGUGUGGGAAGGGUUCUCUUUCCUCAACACCCUCUCUAGAAUUUAUUGUCUAGACUUUUUGAUGAGGGCAAUUCUUACUGGUUGUGAGGUGAUACCUCAUUGUACUUUACUUUGCAUUUCUCUAAUGAUUGGGGGUAUUGAACAUCUUUUCAUGGGAUUUUGUCCAUCCUUUUGUUUUCUUUGGAGAAAUCCUGUGGGAGGUGAAUCUGCCAUCACAGAAAAACAAAGGAGAAUAAUGUUGUGUUAGAGUAAGAAAGGGAAGGGAACAUUCAGAGGCUAAUUUUAGGACAGAAGGAUUUUGCUGAAAAUGGACUCGGGACACAAAGUUUUCAGGAGUGGAGGGAUGAGUGAUAAAAGGGAUAAAAUAAUGUAUGUAUGCAUACUGUUCUCUGGGACAAUAGAGUGUGAAAAAUCAAAUGACUUGGAGAGUCCUGUUAUGAAUGACUGAAAUAAUAAGGAAUAUAUGUAAUAUAUAUAUAGGCUGGUUUCUGACACAGGGCUCCUGAAACCCUUGUAAAUCUCCUAACUAGUAAGAGCACCAGGAGCAUCUUUUGUUGUCCUCUUUGGUCUUUGACCCUGUGCCUAACACAGAGCUCCUGAAUCGCUUGGAACUUGCUGGGUGACAGGAAUGUCUUUUGCUGGAAUGAGGUGACUCUGGUUGGCUCCUGGGUGAGGGCUGGUCUCCAUAAAGGCAAAAGCAUAUUUAGAAUUUGACUAAUGGUCUGAAUUAUCUGCCCACCCCUCAUUCUUCAGAGAAGGGAGAGGGUCUACAAAUGGGGUUAAUCAUUGAUUAUGCUUACAUGAGGAAGCCUGCAUAAGAAUCCCAAAAGUAUGGGAUUUGGAGAGCUUCCAGGUGGAUAGAUGAACAUUUCCAAGUACCAGGAGAGUGUCACACCCCAGCUCCACAGAGACAGAAGCUUCAGUGCUCGGAACCCUCCUAGACCUUGUCCUAUGUAUUUCUUCAUCUGGCUCUUUUUUCAUAUCCUUGAAUAAACUCAUAAACAAGUGUUUCCCUGAGUUCUGUGAGCUUCUCUAGCAAAUAAUCAAAUCCAAGCGGGUGGGGAGAUCAUGGGAACUUCAGUUAGUGGCCAAGUCAAAGUUAUGGGUAACUUAAGACUUGUCAGUGGCCUCUGAGUGGAGGACAGUCUUGUAGGCCUGAGCCCUUCAUCUAUUGGAUCUGGUGCUAUCUUCAGGGAGAUAGUGUCAGAAUUGAGUUAAAUGGCAGCACACCCAGCUGGUGUCACAGUAUUGCUUGGUGUAGGGAAAACCAAUGCACAUUUGAUGUCUGAGGUGUUGUGAGGGUGGGAAGAGUGUGAGAGUUGAGGAAAAACUGAAUUUUUUCCUACAUAGUGACAUAAACAGUGUUCCACAGGGCACAAUUAGAUCACUUUGGUGGAUUUAAGGAGUGUUUACUGGCAGAACCAGGAUUUCUGAUGACACAGUAAGUCACAUUGAUUCUUAAUCUAUCCUUGAGAUUAAUGUUAAUGUGGUCCAUGAGAACAUCCAAUUAUGUUAAAUGAUUUUGUUUCAUCACUUUGUAGAAUUUAUUGAUUGUUUUUUAAUUUGACAAGCAGUCUUAUUGAAUACUUGGAAAAUUAAUACCUAUGCCUUAAUUAUAAUGAACUAGAAAUGGCUUAAGGAUAAUCAAUGUGAUUAAUAUUUUUGACUAGUAGUGCAGAUACAUUCGUGUUAAUAAUAGGUAAACACACCAUUUCUGUAUGAUAUUAUAAACCAAUGUCAUUUAAUAAAUCCUAAAACCUUCCAGGAAAUGAAUGGUUGAAAUCGUUAGCUUAGUGCUUUUCUCUUCUGAUGAAAGCAUUCUAUGAUAAGUUAGAAAUGCUUUAGCUCUAUAGAUAAUGACUUAAAUAAAUUUCUCAAACCAUUUUAUGCUGUUUCCAAGCCUAUCAAUUGUGUG
rnacentral:lncRNA from 1 species